rnacentral:sRNA from 1 species
GCAGCGGGGCACCGGAAGUUAUGGAGGUAUUAAUAGGGGACCCUAUUACCACAUGUCUUUCUCCCUCAGUGUAUGAUAUAAUUUGUAAUCUUGGGUUUCAACUCAGAGAAAAUUGUGAUAUCAAUAGCAUUGUAACUCAGAAUGGUGAAGUAUGCUGGAAAACAAUCACAGACUGUGUGAGCUACACAGAGUCAGAGCAGGGUCUGGAUUACUGGGGAAGCGUGAGGCUGCUGGGCCCUGUGUGUGAGGCUGUCCAUUCACAUUUCUUAUCUCUGACCAAGGGGCAAUUUGAAAUUCGAUAUGCACCGUGGUUCCAGUGGACAAGUUUUCCAGAGGUUUGGCUUUUGAACAACCUUUAGAAGUAAAAGACUGUGCAAAUACUACUUAGAGGAGGUACUAUCUGCCAAUUUUAAAGGGGCCUCCUUCAUCCCCAGGCCCUCCAGCGGUGAAGUGUUGAGGGUUGUAAGAGAACCCUGGGCUAUUACGCAGGGUCUCCAAAGCCUGAGCUGAGAAACAUGCCCCUUGGAACACAGGAAGGUUUUGAAUUCAUUAUCACAGGAUUAGGGGU